AAUGUGUUAGGCUCACCGUCUUCUAAAAGUUUCAAUGCAAGACAAUGGCACGCGCAGACACGAUGCAAACAACGGGGCGCAUUUCUAUUGGCAGACGUCCGUUUAUAGAUCAUCACGUCAUUGUGCUAUAAGUAAAACACCAUUGGCCAAAGUAUAAAUGAAGAGAAUCAACAACAGAGGUUGUUCAUUAUCGAAAGACAUUCAUCGAAGAAGCAACUGAAGGAACGAAGUGGUAAAAAUAUCGUUUUUGAUCAAGGAAAGAAGACAUUAAGAACAAAUAUGACACAUUUGCCUGACUUAGCUGCAAGACCAGAAUUCAUGAAGUACUUGGAUAUUCUCAACGAUGGCUGUGACUCUACGUGUACGAAAAUGAUAUAGAUAUUUUUGACAGUCACGCUCACGAUAGACACACAACACGCAACCACAAUGGAAGCUCAACAGGUGAACAACGAGAGGUGCCAUUCAUACAAUUAGAUUCAGAUAACGAGUCCAUAACAAGCGGUGGAUCUGCAGUUCCAUCACCUGCAAUACCACAAAACUUUGAUUUUCCAACAUCGAGCUUACCAAAAGACAACGAGCUAACAGUGUUGAGUGUAAAGCAACUCAACACUAGAUUAAAAGGACUGCCGAGAAAUGUCGUCAAUGACAUAAAGAAAAGAAGACGAACUUUGAAGAAUCGUGGUUAUGCGCAUUCCUGUCGUCUUAAAAGAAUAAGCGAGAAAAAUUCUUUAGAAAA